rnacentral:lncRNA from 1 species
UGCUAGUACUGCGCUGAUCCUUCUUUGAUGGUUGAUCAGGUGCCUCCUUCUUCUUGAUUUGGACUCUUUCAAAGAUGAAAAGUAAAAGGAGAAGUUUCAAAUCUGAGAUGCUCUCAGAAAACUCAAGAUGGAGGGAGGAAAGAUAUGAAAACAAAAAACCCUAGAAGAAGACCCUCUUCUUCUUCAUGUUUUUCUCUCUAGACAUUCUAACUUGCAUCUUUUAUAUCUCCACAACCCA